CCACCAUCACCGUCGAGUCUACCCACACAUGUCCUUUGGUCCAUAUGACGAUGAGACGUGAUUAGUGAGGAUUUUUAACCAGCGAAGUGAAACCCAUUUAAUAUUCAUGUGGCGAUCAUCAUGCUGAUUUAAGUCGUGAAGAAGCAUAGUAGUAGAUGGAUUGUGUGCCAAAGUUGUCAGCAUGGACGGCGAUGCUCGACGCCUGCAACGUUUCAAUGGUGGCCCGGCCCGGUAAGGUCACCGGAGAAGAGGAAAUCGGUGCAUGGUCAUAAACAGCGGCGAGCUCGACAUCGCACCCUGACCCGUCAUGCAAUGGAAAGGGCAUUUCGUUCCAGAUGUUCUUUAGGGAGUCUUCAAAUUUGGUUUGGGGCGGCGAGGCGGCAGCACUGUUCCAGUGUAGGAAUAAUGUUCUUCCCGCUCUUUCCACGUUCUAUUGGUGUGUUUAUCAUCACAGGAGGGUGUGAGCGACAGUUAAGUGUUAGACUAGGAAGAACCAAGGAAUGUAUACAUGC